AUUGAACGCUGGCGGCAUGCUUUACACAUGCAAGUCGAACGGCAGCACAGGGAGCUUGCUCCCGGGUGGCGAGUGGCGCACGGGUGAGUAAUACAUCGGAACGUGUCCUGUUGUGGGGGAUAACUGCUCGAAAGGGUGGCUAAUACCGCAUAAUGCAUUGGAUUCGCAUGUUUCUGAUGCCAAAGAUUUUAUCGCUGAAAGAUGAGCUCGCGUCUGAUUAGCUAGUUGGCGGGGUAACGGCCCACCAAGGCGACGAUCAGUAGCCGGACUGAGAGGUUGAACGGCCACAUUGGGACUGAGACACGGCCCAG
rnacentral:rRNA from 1 species